rnacentral:lncRNA from 1 species
UGGUGCCAUGGAUGUAAAAUGGGAAGCAGAAGAGUGAGGGCUAUUUCAAGCUCAUUUGAGUCAAACCCAAUGCCAGGUCUAAUUUAAAUUAGGUGGUUAAGCUUAGCCAUCUUAAACAUUUAGAUCUUGACUCGAACCUAAAUUGCGGGCUAAAAUCGGGCUUGCAAUCAGGCUCGGGCUCUGACCGAGCCUAGGCUGGGCUAAUGGUAGGUUCAAGCCCGACCCAAAAAUAAAGCGGGCUCUAUAUCUCAGUCCAAAUCCGGCCU